AGUGAACGCUGGCGGUAGGCCUAACACAUGCAAGUCGAACGGCAGCACAGUAAGAGCUUGCUCUUACGGGUGGCGAGUGGCGGACGGGUGAGGAAUACAUCGGAAUCUACUUUUUCGUGGGGGAUAACGUAGGGAAACUUACGCUAAUACCGCAUACGACCUACGGGUGAAAGUAGGGGAUCUUCGGACCUUGCGCGAUUGAAUGAGCCGAUGUCGGAUUAGCUAGUUGGCGGGGUAAAGGCCCACCAAGGCGACGAUCCGUAGCUGGUCUGAGAGGAUGAUCAGCCACACUGGAACUGAGACACGGUCCAGACUCCUACGGGAGGCAGCAGUGGGGAAUAUUGGACAAUGGGCGCAAGCCUGAUCCAGCCAUACCGCGUGGGUGAAGAAGGCCUUCGGGUUGUAAAGCCCUUUUGUUGGGAAAGAAGAGCAGCAGGUUAAUACCCCGCUGUUCUGACGGUACCCAAAGAAUAAGCACCGGCUAACUUCGUG
rnacentral:rRNA from 1 species